GGCGGGCGCCCUCCGGCCUCCGAGCAGCAGCAGCGGCGGCGGCGGCGGCAGCAGUAGCCGGCGCGGCCCGGAGGCGGAAGCGACGGCAGGAAGUGAGCUCUGCUCUGGACAACCUGGGAAGGGGCUGGAAUGCCUCAGUACUCUGCACCCAGCUUCCCAUCCAGAGGAAACCAAGGCCCGCAUCCACAAAGCAUGACUUCAGGUCUCAGGGUUUUCUCUGCAGCCUCCAGCAUGCAGUAACAGACUCUGCCUCACUCAGCAGCGUUUAUCCAGACCUACAUAGCAGCUGGUGUGGAUAUGCAUGCAACACUUUACAUCUGAUGGUGUUGAACAUACAGGUGAGUUGCUGUAUAGACUGCUCACCUGUAC